rnacentral:rRNA from 1 species
UACAGAGGUGGCAAGCGUUGUUCGGAAUUACUGGGCGUAAAGGGCGCGUAGGCGGUUCGUUAAGUCCUGUGUGAAAUCCCCCGGCUCAACUGGGGAACUGCACAGGAAACUAGCGGGCUUGAGUUCGGGAGAGGGAAGCGGAAUUCCGGGUGUAGCGGUGAAAUGCGUAGAUAUCCGGAGGAACACCGGUGGCGAAGGCGGCUUCCUGGACCGACACUGACGCUGAGGCGCGAAAGCUAGGGUAGCAAACGGG